AGUGAACGCUGGCGGUAGGCCUAACACAUGCAAGUCGAACGGCAGCACAGUAAGAGCUUGCUCUUACGGGUGGCGAGUGGCGGACGGGUGAGGAAUACAUCGGCAUCUACUUUUUCGUGGGGGAUAACGUAGGGAAACUUACGCUAAUACCGCAUACGACCUACGGGUGAAAUCAGGGGAUCUUCGGACCUUGCGCGAUUGAAUGAGCCGAUGUCGGAUUAGCUAGUUGGCGGGGUAAAGGCCCACCAAGGCGACGAUCCGUAGCUGGUCUGAGAGGAUGAUCAGCCACACUGGAACUGAGACACGGUCCAGACUCCUACGGGAGGCAGCAGUGGGGAAUAUUGGACAAUGGGCGCAAGCCUGAUCCAGCCAUACCGCGUGGGUGAAGAAGGCCUUCGGGUUGUAAAGCCCUUUUGUUGGGAAAGAAAAGCAGCAGGUUAAUACCCCGCUGUUCUGACGGUACCCAAAGAAUAAGCACCGGCUAACUUCGUG
rnacentral:rRNA from 1 species